GUUUAUGCGAUGGAGAUGAUGAACGUUGUUGUUGUGGAUGCAGAUUCGUGGAUGAGUGUCAUGGAGAUUGUUGAAUCGUAUUUGCGAUGAGAACGAAGACGCGACGAAGAUUGAAGUGUUGUUGUUGUGAUUGAAGCGUCAAGGAGUGGAUUCGAGUUCAGAUUGUGGUGAGUCCCUUUCUUUGUCAAUCUUUUCUCUCUGACCUUCUGCUCGAUAUUAAUCACCUCUCUGUGUCUCCUUUUUUCUGGUUGUGUCGAAGAAGAUUAAAAGGAUUUAUGGUUUCUGAAGGGAGAGGUAUCAAGACAGAAUUUGAAGGUUGAUCUAUGAAGAUGAUGAAGUUAUUGAAGGAGGAGGAGAAGAAGAUGAAGGUGGAGUGAAUUGGAGCCGGUGGUGAAGUGAAGGAGAUUCUGAUUUAUAGUGAUUGAAGGUUCAGUUCAGGUUCAGAUGCAAGUAGAAGCAAGCCAAUUGUGCAGUAUUUCGGACAAGCUUGUGAGUUGUCAUAACGAGGUGAACGGAAUCAAAUGUCGACGGACUCUUCAGGAGCUGAUACUGCAGCGUCGUUCAAACGAUGAGAUCGAGUUGAAAUCACUGUUACCAUGAACUUGCGGAAGAUUUGUGAAGCUGCGUUGCAUUGUUGGGCUUGGAUUCAGUUUGGGAAUUGGGUGAGUGAUUUGUAUGGUAUGGGGCUGCAGUGAAGAUGUUUGAAAAGCACAUCAUGGCUUGGAACUUUAGCAGGAGGUUUAAUUCGAUUUUUUCGAAGAAUAAAAUGUUGCAAGUUUCUUGAUGUAAUUUUUGAAUGGAGUUUGAAUUUGGAUACAAGAGCAUGACCUUUUUUUUUUUGUGUAACGGAUCUUGAUGAAUGUUGUAAGGAUACUUUUUGUAAUAUGUGUAUGGACUUUGAAUAUUUGUAAUGAAUUUCUGUUGAUGUAAUGAUAGA